rnacentral:rRNA from 1 species
GCCUACGGGGCGCAGCAGUGGGGAAUUUUGCGCAAUGGGGGAAACCCUGACGCAGCAACGCCGCGUGAGUGAUGAAGGCUUUCGAGUCGUAAAGCUCUGUCAAGUGAGAAGAACCUAAAAUAUGCUAACAUCAUAUUUUACUGACGGUAUCACUGAAGGAAGCACCGGCUAACUCCGUGCCAGCAGCCGCGGUAAUACGGAGGGUGCAAGCGUUAUUCGGAAUUAUUGGGCGUAAAGGGCGCGUAGGCGGCUUCUUAAGUCAGAUGUGAAAGCCCGGGGCUUAACCCCGGAAGUGCAUUUGAAACUAAGUGGCUUGAGUAUGGGAGAGGGAAGUGGAAUUCCUGGUGUAGAGGUGAAAUUCGUAGAUAUCAGGAGGAACACCGGUGGCGAAGGCGACUUCCUGGACCAAUACUGACGCUGAGGCGCGAAGGCGUGGGGAGCAAACAGGAUUAGAUACCCUCGUAU